GACGAACGCUGGCGGCGUGCUUAACACAUGCCAGUCGAACGGAAAGGCCCUGCUUUUGUGGGGUGCUCGAGUGGCGAACGGGUGAGUAACACGUGAGUAACCUGCCCUUGACUUUGGGAUAACUUCAGGAAACUGGGGCUAAUACCGGAUAGGAGCUCCUGCUGCAUGGUGGGGGUUGGAAAGUUUCGGCGGUUGGGGAUGGACUCGCGGCUUAUCAGCUUGUUGGUGGGGUAGUGGCUUACCAAGGGUUUGACGGGUAGCCGGCCUGAGAGGGUAACCGGCGACGUGGGGACGGAGAGAGGCACAAGACGGCAAGGGGAGGAGAGGGGGGGAAGAGUGGAAGAGGGGGGGGGAGCUGGAGACAAAAGCGCGGGGUGGGGAAAGGGGGGUUAGGGGUUGAAAACCGAUGUGGCAGGAAAAGAGGGGAGAGGGACGGUAAGGGAUAAGAAAGCCCCGGAUAACUACGUG
rnacentral:rRNA from 1 species